rnacentral:tRNA from 1 species
GGGCCCGUAGCUCAGUCUUUGGCAGAGCGCCUGGCUUUUAACCAGGGUGUCAGGGGUUCAAAUCCCCCCGGGCUCG